rnacentral:rRNA from 1 species
AUUGAACGCUGGCGGCAUGCCUUACACAUGCAAGUCGAACGGCAGCGGGGACUUCGGUCCGCCGGCGAGUGGCGAACGGGUGAGUAAUGUAUCGGAACGUACCUUUCAGUGGGGGAUAACGUAGCGAAAGUUACGCUAAUACCGCAUAUUCGCUGAGGAGGAAAGCAGGGGACCUUCGGGCCUUGUGCUGAUGGAGCGGCCGAUAUCAGAUUAGCUAGUUGGUGAGGUAAAGGCUCACCAAGGCGACGAUCUGUAGCGGGUCUGAGAGGAUGAUCCGCCACACUGGGACUGAGACACGGCCCAGACUCCUACGGGAGGCAGCAGUGGGGAAUUUCGGACAAUGGGCGCAAGCCUGAUCCAGCCAUGCCGCGUGAGUGAAGAAGGCCUUCGGGUUGUAAAGCUCUUUCGGACGGGAAGAAAUUGGUGGGGCUAAUAUCCCCAUCGGAUGACGGUACCGUAAUAUGAAGCACCGGCUAACUACGUGCCAGCCGCCGCCGUAACAC